CGGGAUGGUCAGCUGUCCCAGUUUGUCCAAGCUGAGAAGUUUCUGGGGACCUGAGACUUUCAGUGCUAACCAGCAGGGUCCUGGGCCAGCCAGGACAGUUGGUCACCCUGGUGCUGA
rnacentral:miRNA from 1 species